rnacentral:lncRNA from 1 species
AAACCACUAUUCUGAGUAGGCCCAAAAUCGGGAUAUUACAUCUCUGGCAUCCUAUAGGAGGGUUUCUAUUACUGACAUUGGUGAAAAAUGAAUUCUUUUUCGUUUUUUUUGUGAAGUGGACAGAGAUAGAAUGGUUAAAGGGUCACCAUGGACCUUCAACAAUCAUUUACUCAUCAUCUCUAUGUUAAAAGAGGGGGAAGACCCGCUGGAAGUGCCUCUCAAUAACGCCAAUUUCUGGGUUCAGAUCCAUGAUCUACCUUCAGGCCUGUAUUCAGAAAAUAUUGCAAGAUAGUUUGGUGACUUUAUAGGUUCUUUCAUAGAGUAUGAUACAAAAACCAUUACAGCAAGUCUACGGAAUUUUAUGAGAAUUAGAGUACAAGUGGAUGUCCGAAAACCUUUGAAGAGACGAAGGCGAUUACUGGUUGCUAAAUCGAAAGAAUUUUGUGUCAGUUUUAAAUAUGAAAAGUUAGAAACUUUCUGUUUCUUAUGUGGACGUCUAGGACAUGGAGAAAGCUUCUGUCCGAUUCGAAUGUAUCACGGGAGUAGAAAUUUACCAAUGGGAUGGGAUAUUUCGUUAAGAGGUCUUCCUCGGCGAGCGGUGGUAGGUAAGAGUCAUUGACUUAGGGAUUUCGUUAUAGAUUGGGGAGUAAUGGCAGGGGUAUCAAGAUCAAAUUCAAGGAGCAAUUUUAGGAAUCAACAUAUUCUUAAUUUGAUGUGCAUUUGUGAAACAAAUUUGGGGUUAAACUUGAUAGGUAAGUCUUUUACCCUCCAAAAAAAUAGCAUUAAUGAAGAUGAUUUUAUGGACGAUGGAGCAAUGAAUAAGGAAGGGCCUAUUGUUGCCAAUGAAGGAAAAAAAAAAUUGAGGCCCAAUUUUGUGCAGGAAGUUGCAAUUGAAAGCGAUUCUUCUGAAAGGCAUAGGGAACGGAUGAACUUUUAUCAAAAUGAGAAAUCGGCUAAACCUGCGGAGCGGGUCAUCCGAAUAUUAUGAAAAUUUUAAGUUAGAACGUCCGUGGACUGGGGAAUCCAUGGUCGGUCCGAUGUGUUCAGCAUUUGCUGAAAGAAUAUCGUCUCCAUAUUUUUUUCUUUAUGGAAACUAAAAUUGAUAGAGUAGAAUGGAAAGAAUAAGGAGAAAGUUUGGGUAUCAAAAUGGAAUUGAGGUUGCAGCCAAUGGUACUAAGGGUGGUCUUUCUAUUGGUUAGACUAAUGAGGCUGAUAUUCGACUAUUGGGUUAUAAUGACAGUUGUAUUGAUGUUAUGGUCAUUAAUAACAACAAUAGACCCGAUUAGCAUCUUACCGGGUUUUACGGAGCUCCUGAUGUUAGAGACAGAAUUAGUUCUUGGAAUCUACUUAGAAACCUCAGUCAUAAUUUUUUGGAAGCAUGGGUCGUGUUGGGUGAUUUUAAUGAAAUCUUAUCUAAUCAAUAAAAAUGUGGAGAAAGACUUAGAGAGGAAAAACAAAUUGAAGCUUUCAGAGAUACUUUGGAUUAUUGUGGACUCACGGAUCUUAGUUACUAGGGUCGUUGGUAUACUUGGGAAAGGGGGAAUUUUGAGUCUACCGAUAUUCGAGAAAGAUUAGAUAGAGGAGUUGCGAAUAUCCAAUGGUAUAAUUCUUUCUCUAAUUAUAUGCUUGUUCAUUUACCAAAUUCGACCUCGGAUCAUUCUCCUAUUUUCCUUGAUUCUGAUUUUUCUACUAAUGAUAAAUAUGUAGAUAAAAUCAGGAUUUUCGAUUUGAAAAAAUGUGGUUAUUGGAAGAGUCAUGUUGUGCUGAAGUUAAGUUUUUGUGGGACUUGAAUAAGCAUCUUAAUGUUCCGGAGCGUCUUCAUGCUAUUGGUGAAGGUUUUAGUAGAUGGGCAAUAAGGAUUAGAAGGGAGAAAGAUGGUAAAAUGAUUUCUCUUAAAAGCAGAUUGAAUGCUCUUUACAACGCCCCUCUGAAUGACGAGACCUUGGAGGAAAUUAUUGAAGCUAAGCUAGAUCUUAAUCUGGAAAUAGAUAAAACUGAAAUGUACUGGGAACAAAGGGCCCGUUCUAAUUGGCUUAAGAAUGGGGAUCGUAAUACGAAUUUUUUUCAGUCUUGAUUCUAACAAACGCCGCAUGAAUAAGAUUAUGAGACUUAGAUGUGAGGAUGGUUCGGUUAUUACUGAGGAAGAUGAGAUGAUGAAUAUGGCAAUCAGCUAUUUUAAGGAAUUAUUUACUAGUUCUCGGCAGAGGGAUGAUGAUAAUACGCAUGAAGGAGUUUCCUCAAGAAUAUCUCCAUCUAUGAAUGAACAACUAUUGCGUGAGCUCAAGGUGGAGGAAAUCAGAAAGGCUCUUUGGGAGAUGGCGCCAACUAAAGCGCCAAGAGUUGAUGGAUUUCAUACUAUUUUCUUUCAAAAGUUCUGGCACAUAAUCGGGCAGGAUGUAGCGAAGUUUUGUUUACAAGUCAUUAAUAGGGAGACUUCACUUUAUGAAGUUAAUUCUACCAAGAUUAUUCUCAUUCCCAAAGUAAGUGAUGCGGAUAUGAUGUCUCUAUUUCGCCCUAUUAGUCUGUGUUCGAUCUUAUACAAAAUAACUUCUAAGAUCAUUGCUAAUAGAUUGAAAUUAGUUUUGGACCAAUAUAUUGGUCAUACUCAAAGAGCGUUUGUGCCGGGCAGACUAAUCUCAGAUAAUGUCCUUGUGGCAUAUAAAAUUAUACAUGAGCAAAGCUUACAAUAGAGUGGAGUGGGGUUUUUUAGAAGGAAUGAUGAAGCAUAUGGGUUUUGCGUCGGAAUGGAUUAGUUUGAUCAUGUAUUGUAUCUCCUCAGUGUCUUAUACUGUCAAUUUCAAUGGGUCCUCGAGUGAGAAAUUUUUCCCUCAAAAGGGACUACGUCAAGAGGAUCCUUUAAGCCCCUACCUUUUUUUAAUUUGUACGGAGGGCUUCUCAGUUUUAUUAGAUUCUGCUAUUUAGACGGGCAACUUAAGAGGGGUGAAAGUUUGUAGGGGGAGCCUUGCUGUCACUCACCUAUUUUUUGCUGAUGACAAUAUUAUUUUUGGCGAUGCAAACGAUACAGGAGGGCGGGUUUUGAUGGAUAUUCUGAAAUGUUAUGAAACCGCAUCGGGGCAGAAUAUAAACCUUGAUAAGUUACAAAUUUUCUUCAGCUCAAAUGUCUCUCAUAUUUCUUGUAGUCAUUUGGUGCAGAUGUUAGGAGUUCGGCGAUUGCUAUGUAUGGAGAGAUAUUUGGAUCUCCCUACGAUGGUUGAAAGGAAAAAGAAUGAUGCGUUUCAACAUAUUUGUGAUAGGAUGAAGAUGAAAGUUCAGAGUUGGGGAGCUAAACUUCUUUCUCAAGGUGGAAAAGAAGUUUUUAUUAAAACGGUCCUUCAAGCGAUUCCUACAUACUCGAUGUCGUGUUUCCUGUUUCCUAAGACGUUGUGUACGAAGCUUGAAAGUAUCAUGAGUAGGUUUUGGUGGCAAAAAAGUUUGACUCGAAAUGGAAUGCACUGGUGUAACUGGGCUAAUCUCAAUAUCCCUAAAAAUUAUGGUGGUAUGGGUUUUAGGGAUCUUGGCAAGUUUAAUAUUGCCCUUUUAGUGAAACAAGGUUGGAGGUUAGUUACUAAUCCGAAUUCUUUAUUGGGACGUAUUUAUAAAGCUAAGCAUUAUCCCCAUACCUCGUUUUGGAAUGCCACUUUAGGCACUAAUCCAUCGUAUACUUGGAAGAGUAUUUUUACAGCCAGAAAGGUUUUAGAAGAUGGUUUGGGCUGGAAAGUGGGAUCAGGUUCCCAAAUCUCAAUUUUGCAAGAUUGUUGGUUACCCCGUUGGGCAGGGGGAAAAAUUCAGGCUACUCCUGCAAACAGCAGAUUUGACAGAGUGUCAGAGCUUAUUGAUUAUUCUACUAAGUCCUGGAAAGUGGAUUAAUUAGUAAGUGUUUUACCCCUUUGGAAGCUAUUGCAAUCUGUUGCAUUCCUCUUUCGGUUUACAACUCUGAAGAUAGAAUGGUGUGGUUUGCUGAUAACUCCGGCAGGUAUACGGUUCGUAGUGGGUAUCACUGUCUUGUUGGUUCGUGGGUUGAAGACGCUAUGAAUACUGACUCUUUAGGAGUUUACAAAAAAAUUUGGGAAUUAAAUCUUCCCCCAAAGAUCAGAAUCGUUGUUUGGCAAAUUACAAAAGAUUAUAUUCCUACUGCUGUUAAUCUAUACAAUAGACGUAUUAGCUCUUCCCCAAGUUACCCCAGCUAUAGUGAAGCCCUGGAGAAUUUCAUGCAUACUCUCCUAGUUUGUGGACCUACGAAAGAUGUUUGGCAAUCAAUGGGGGUUGACUGGUCAAAUUUCAAUGAGAGUAUGGAUUUUUGUACCUGGAUCAACUUGGUUUUUCAAGAUAGAAGGCAUGAUUUUGGUGAAAUUGUUACAACCACGGCCUGGGCACUCUGGCAAGCCCGAAAUAAACGCACAAUGGAGGGAAAGUUCGAUGCUGCAUUCAGAAUAACUCUUCAUCAGCCAUCUUCUGGUUUUAUUAUCAGAAAUUCUAGGGGUCAGGUGAUGGGAUACGGAACCAUUUUUAAUAAGUUUGUCUUGGAUUCGUUCACUGCUGAGGCUAUAGCCUGCCUUCAGGCUCUGGAUUUCGCGAGGGAUAUGGGUUUUACUCAUGUGCAAAUGGAGGGUGAUUCUAGAACUACGAUUGUUAAAAUAAACCAAGUUCUUCCAGAUUUUUCAGACAUGAGGACUUACAUCGAAGAAAUAAAGAUAAAAGCAAGUUCUUUUCAGUGUAUUUCCUUUCAGCAUGUUCACAGACGAGCGAACAUGGUGGCUCAUAUGUUAGCAAAAGAGAGGAUGUUGAGUUCGGAAGAUAGUUUCUAGGUGGAUGACUUACCGGCAGUGGCAGAAGUUUACUUGGCCAGAGAUCUUGCGGGCAUGGCUUCUCAGUCUUGAAGGGUGCUCUGUGUGGGGUUUUUGGCUGGAGAAAUUUUUGGGUUUUUCUUGAUCUGCUGCUGAGAUAGAAGUGGGUAUUGAUUUGUAAUUCCA